CCUUCUCCUUAAGUCCCCAAGGUAACACUCCCUUGUUACCGUUUCACUUGGUCGUGUUGGGUAAGUUUUGGUCGAGACCUUUGGUACGGACGGUACGGCCAUGUACGGCCUUGUACGGACGUCCGUACCAUUCACACCCAAACCCCCUAAGCUUCUCCAUCUCUUCUCCUCUUCAACUCCUCUUCUCUCCAUACCAAUAUAAUCAACUCAACUCAACACUCCCCCUCAAGCUUAGCUUUGUGAAAGCCUAAGCUUGGAUAGCUAUGAGAUCUUCCUCAUUAAAAAAACCUUACCAAGGAAAACCCAUUGGGAUAAAACCUUGAUAAGGGAAAAAAGAGUAAAGACCUCACAGCCAAGGGGAUCAGCUCCUUCUCUUCCCAAGAUCAAUGAGGCCCAGCCGUAUGUGAAUGGACUCCAUUGUCUUCUGCCUUGCAGCCUUGGUGAACACAUCCG
rnacentral:lncRNA from 1 species